GAAGCGGCAGGGGCCAAAAAAAUAAUGCCCGGCUUUUGACUUUGAAGUUCGUUCGCAUUUCACAACCUCCUUAACAAUUGCUCGGUGUGCCCAGUAAGCUGUACGACUACCUACCUUACAAACUAAAUAAGACAGAAGUGAUGGUGUGUGACCUCUGAGACUAAGCCAUAGAAGGCAAGGCAACUUCCUUCUUGCUCACUUUUGGAUCACUCCCUCCGGGGGAAGCAAGCUGUCACAUCAUGAAGAUUCUCAAUCAACCCAAUGGAGAAGCCCACAUGGUGAGGAAAGGAGGUCUCCUGCCAACGGCCAGCUUUACCAUGGAAUAGUUGAUAUCCAAAAGCUGCACGUAUUUAAUGGAUAAAUUUGAUGAGUUUGGACCCAUGCAAACAGCCGUAAAACCAGCAGCACAAUCAAGGUUGCAAAGCCUCUACAAACCCAUUUCUGAAGUCAGGUGGUGACACUGAUCAGCUGGCAGGCUGAAUAGGAGGAAGCCAGCCUAGCGUUUUCUGCAGAACAGCGCCUGGAAAUGACAUUGGGGUCCAGUGACUGGUGGGAGACCCAGAGCGAGGUGAAGAUCUGGAUUCAGGAAGAUGUUAUGGAUAGUUCUAAAAAUAAAUAUUUCCACCAAGCGUA